rnacentral:rRNA from 1 species
GACGAAGGGGGCUAGCGUUGUUCGGAAUUACUGGGCGUAAAGCGCGCGUAGGCGGUCUUUCAAGUCAGGAGUGAAAGCCCCGGGCUCAACCCGGGAAUAGCUCUUGAUACUGUUGGACUCGAGUCCGGGAGAGGAUAGUGGAAUUCCCAGUGUAGAGGUGAAAUUCGUAGAUAUUAGGAAGAACACCAGUGGCGAAGGCGGCUCACUGGUCCGGUACUGACGCUGAGGUGCGAAAGCGUGGGGAGCAAACAGGA